AUGUGUAAGACAUCGAGGGACGUGGCAACAAAAGGAAGAAAGUGCGGAGAAGCCCAUAGUCGAGUGAGAACGCAUGACUCUGAUGACUCUCUCGUGAAAACUAGAUUUGAAAAGCACCACCAUGAAGACCCCUGGGACUGUGGGGCACCAGGAGAGAGGUCGGUCCUCAUCUUCAGCUGCUCUUCCCUUCUGCAGAGUCAUUUUGAUUUUGCACCGACUCCUUCCUCACAGGUGUUCACACCUUCCACCCCAGCUAGAGAUGAAAGGAGGACACUCACCAUUCAGUACUCACCCAGGCCAUCCAUCGACAGAAACGUCAGAUAGCGCAUCCACGCCUGAUCACCUCUCUCGGCUGCUGGGGGAGCCCACACAAGCAGGCGCAUCGAUGAGCUCCCGGCCUGCCAACUCUGGGCCUGCCUCAGACUGAUGCAGCUGGGUGGUGGCUUCUCUGGACUUCGCUUGAAAGGCGUAGCCUGGACCUUGCCGGGAGCCAUGGGUGCAGAGCACGCACCUCUGGCCUCUAUCUUGAAACACUGGACUGUGGAUCUGAUGCUGGGAGUUCAGACUGGAAAAGGAGAAACAUAGGAACCAGCAGGCGAUAUAAGGCCAGCGGGGAUGGUCUGGGAGCAGUAACGGCGAAGAUCACGGAGGCCCACCGUCCUGCACUCCAAAUCCCUGGCUACAUAGGUUCAGAACUCAGAAUUUCCCCAGUUGUAGGAGGAAAGGAUUACACGUAGACCACAUAUCUCCUAACACCCCCAGUGAAGUGUGGGGCAGCCCCUGUAAUCAGACGUGUUACCAGGCCUGCGGCAAAGCCUACGAACAAAGACACAAAUCCUCUCUGAAGCUCAGUUUUCUCGUCUCUAACGUGGAGCAAUGGCUGUACCAGGCUCACAGGGUUGCCCUGAGAAUUUGAUGCUUCCCGUGAUACCGGCCAGCCCGCAGGAGACACAGGUUCUUGGCCUGCCCCGAGCCCUCUGGGGCACGUGCUGCUCCUUUCCGGAAUAUUCAUCCCUAGAUGUCUCAGGAGAUAGCUCUCUCACUUCCUUCAGGACCCGCCCCAGCAGGACUUGCCCUGUCUAUCCCCGUCUCCUCCCGCCCCUGUUCUCCUUUGUCUUCCUUCCCAACCUCUAUCAUUUGAAGUAUCACUUAAAUCAAUUACUCCCUUGUUAAUUGCCUGCCCUCCUGCAGUAGAUUCCAAGCUCCGUGUAGUCAGGACUCUGUGCUGUCGCCCACUUUGCCCCAGAACUUAGGAAAGAGCUGGCACAGACGGGCGCUCUGACUUCUGUUGAAUGGGCGACAGUCUGUUAAAUGUGCCUUGUGC
rnacentral:lncRNA from 1 species